GGCGUCGUAGCCAAGUGGUAAGGCCGCGGUCUGCAAAACCGCUAUGCACCAGUUCGAAUCUGGUCGACGCCUCUA
rnacentral:tRNA from 2 species